UAACAGAGGUGCAAAACUCCAGCAGGG
rnacentral:piRNA from 1 species